UGAGUAACCUGCCCUUAACUCUGGGAUAAGCCUGGGAAAACUGGGUACUAAUACCGGAUAUGACUCCUCAUCGCAUGGUGGAGGGUGGAAAGCUUUUUGUGGUUUUGGAUGGACUCGCGGCCUAUCAGCUUGUUGGUGAGGUAAUGGCUCACCAAGGCGACGACGGGUAGCCGGCCUGAGGAGGGCGAUCGGCCACACUGGGACUGAGACACGGCCCAGACCUCCGUACGGGGAGCAG
rnacentral:rRNA from 1 species